AGCUACAGCCAUACCACAUUGAGCGCCACCGAUCUCAUCUGAUCUCGGACGCUAAGCAGGGUCGAACUGGCUUAGUACUUUGAUGAGAGACGGCCUGGGAAUACCGGGUGCUGUGGGUU
ensembl:rRNA 5S_rRNA 5S ribosomal RNA